rnacentral:rRNA from 1 species
UACGGAGGAUCCAAGCGUUGUCCGGAUUUAUUGGGCUUAAAGGGUGCGUAGGCGGAUAAUUAAGUCAGUGGUGAAAUCUUGCGGCUCAACCGUAAAAUUGCCAUUGAAACUGAUUAUCUUGAGUACAGUUGAGGUGGGCGGAAUGUAUCAUGUAGCGGUGAAAUGCUUAGAUAUGAUGCAGAACACCUAUUGCGAAAGCAGCUCACUAAGCUGCAACUGACGCUGAGGCACGAAAGCGUGGGGAUCAAACAGG